rnacentral:lncRNA from 1 species
UAAGUUUUAUUGGUUAUGUUCAAUUAAUACUACUACAACCAGGACAAUCAUCAAUCAUGAGUACGACUUUAUGAUGGUAGUUUGGAGUAGGUCAAGCGCACUCCAUGCGUAUGAUAUUUAAGAUCAAAUGUAGUUUAACUUUCAAAACUUUUCUAUUUGUAAGAUCUUUUUAGCCAUAAAAAAGAUGGUAAAUUGGCAUACCCAUUUCGAUUAAACUUGUUUCUUAAAAA